AAGACUAUACUUUCAGGGAUCAUUUCUAUAGUUUGUUACAUUGAGUAACUAUUGAAAAAUAUGAAUUUAAUGCCA
rnacentral:snoRNA from 1 species